rnacentral:rRNA from 1 species
UACGUAGGGUGCGGAGCGUUGUCCGGAAUUAUUGGGCGUAAAGAGCUCGUAGGCGGUCUGUCGCGUCGGUCGUGAAAACUUGGGGCUUAACCCUGAGCUUGCGGUCGAUACGGGCAUGACUGGAGUUCGGCAGGGGAGACUGGAAUUCCUGGUGUAGCGGUGAAAUGCGCAGAUAUCAGGAGGAACACCGGUGGCGAAGGCGGGUCUCUGGGCCGAUACUGACGCUGAGGAGCGAAAGCGUGGGGAGCGAACAGG